rnacentral:rRNA from 1 species
CGCUGGCGGUGCGCCUAACACAUGCAAGUCGAACGGGGUGCAUGGAGCUGAUCACUUCGGUGUGAAGCACCAUGUUACUUAGUGGCGAAAGGGUGAGUAACACAUGGGUAACCAACCCUUAGGAUUGGGAUACUCCCGGGAAACCGGGCACAAUACCAAAUUUGAUUCCGAGGUGAAAUCCCCUGGGAUAAAAGCUUCGAGCAAUCGUGGCGCCUAAGGAUGGGCCUGUGCCCUAUCAGUUAGUUGGUGAGGUAAUGGCUUACCAAGACUAAGACGGGUAGCCGGACUGAGAGGUUGAUCGGCCACACUGGAACUGAGACACGGUCCAGACUCCUACGAGAGGCAGCAGUGAGGAAUUUUGCGCAAUGGGCGAAAGCCUGACGCAGCGACACCGCGUGGGGGAAGAAGGCUCUCGGGUUGUAAACUCCUUUCGUGAGGGAAAAAGUCCCGAGCAAUCGGGAUGAUGGUACCUCAGGAAGAAGCCACGGCUAACUCUGUG